rnacentral:rRNA from 1 species
CCUACGGGGGGCAGCAGUGGGGAAUAUUGGGCAAUGGGCGCAAGCCUGACCCAGCAACGCCGCGUGAAGGAAGAAGGCUUUCGGGUUGUAAACUUCUUUUGUCAGGGAAGAGUAGAAGACGGUACCUGACGAAUAAGCCACGGCUAACUACGUGCCAGCAGCCGCGGUAAUACGUAGGUGGCAAGCGUUGUCCGGAUUUACUGGGUGUAAAGGGCGUGUAGCCGGGUUGACAAGUCAGAUGUGAAAUCCUGCGGCUUAACCGCAGAACUGCAUUUGAAACUGUUGAUCUUGAGUACUGGAGAGGCAGACGGAAUUCCUAGUGUAGCGGUGAAAUGCGUAGAUAUUAGGAGGAACACCAGUGGCGAAGGCGAUCUGCUGGACAGCAACUGACGGUGAGGCGCGAAAGCGUGGGGAGCAAACAGGAUUAGAUACCCGGGUAUC